GACGAACGCUGGCGGCGUGCCUAAUACAUGCAAGUCGAACGCACUGGGGACGGGUGAGUAACACGUGGGUAACCUCCCAUCAGAGGGGAUAACACUUGGAAACAGGUGCUAAACCGAUACUGAUGGAUGAACCCGCGGUGCAUUAGCUAGUUGGGGAGGUAACGGCUCACCAAGGCCACGAUGCAGAGCGGACUGGAGAGGGGGAUCGGCAACACUGGGACUGAGAAACGGCCCAGACCCUGACGGAAGGCAGCGGUGGGGAAUUUUCGGCAAUGGAGGAAAUUCGGACCGGGCAACGCCGCGUGGGGGAAGAAGGUUUUCGGAUCGUAAAACUCUUUUGUUAGAGAAGCGGUAUCUAACCAGAAAGCCACGGCUAACUACGUGCCAGCAGCCGCGGUAAUUC
rnacentral:rRNA from 1 species